rnacentral:lncRNA from 1 species
AGGGGGUUGUUGAUUUUUGUCCGUCAGAUAUAGGAAAUAUGUAAAACCUUAUCAUUAUAUAUAGGGUGGUGGGCAACUAUGCAAUGACCAUAUUGGAAGUUAAAGGAAAAGAGAGAAAGAGAAAUCUUUCUGUCUAAGUGUAAUUAACAAUGGCUUCCUCAGUUCUUUCCUCUGCAGCAGUUGCCACCCGCAGCAAUGUUGCUCAAGCUAACAUGGUUGCACCUUUCACUGGCCUUAAGUCAGCUGCCUCAUUCCCUGUUUCAAGGAAGCAAAACCUUGACAUCACUUCCAUUGCCAGCAACGGCGGAAGAGUGCAAUGCAUGCAGGUAAUUUAUAUACAAUGACAGUGCAAAAAAUUUUGAUACAAUUAAUGCAUCUUAACAUGUCAUAGCUAAAAAUUCUAUUUUGGUGGAAUAUAGGUGUGGCCACCAAUUAACAAGAAGAAGUACGAGACUCUCUCAUACCUUCCUGAUUUGAGCCAGGAGCAAUUGCUUAGUGAAGUUGAGUACCUUUUGAAAAAUGGAUGGGUUCCUUGCUUGGAAUUC